UCCCUGACCUCAGUUCCCGCAGGUUUUUCUUCCCUUGCUCCAGCAGCUCUCGUCGUUGGCCAGAGAAUUAUCCCCUUCCUUGAGAUUGAAGUAUUGGGACUGAGUUAUUCAAAGCGCACUGAGUGAGAGAGAGAGGAGCCGGAUAAGAUUUUUGACAUUACCGUUGCUGUCCACGAGCCACCAUUGGUCGUUGCUUGCAGAGCUUGAAAACAACAUUUGCUAGUCAAAUGAGUUCUUAACCGGAGAAUGACAUACAUAGUUCUUGAGGCAGCUGAUCUCGAUGAUGAUGGGGUAGAGUUCAAUUUCUUGACAGUGCUGUAGAAUUUGUCAUAUAUAUGCUCAAAGAGAUAGGGAAGUUCAAACAAGAAGAUGUAGUACUUGUAUUGGAAGAGUUUGAGAAUCUUGCUUUUGAUCAGUCUGGGACAUUAUCAGUGUCUAAUUUAGAGCUUGCUCAAUCAUCUCAAACAGGGCUUGAUUCACGCCUGUGUGGAGAGUUUAGGAAUGCAAAAUUGUGUAAUGAUUGGUGAAGUAUCUGUAAGCCACUUUCCAGGAUCCUGUGUUGUGAAGAAAUAACUCAUUUUCCCAUGUAAAAUGAAAGAUGUGAAGAAAGUAA